GAUGAACGCUGGCGGCGUGCCUAAUACAUGCAAGUCGAGCGAAUGGAUUAAGAGCUUGCUCUUAUGAAGUUAGCGGCGGACGGGUGAGUAACACGUGGGUAACCUGCCCAUAAGACUGGGAUAACUCCGGGAAACCGGGGCUAAUACCGGAUAACAUUUUGAACCGCAUGGUUCGAAAUUGAAAGGCGGCUUCGGCUGUCACUUAUGGAUGGACCCGCGUCGCAUUAGCUAGUUGGUGAGGUAACGGCCCACCAAGGCCACGAUGAGUAGCCGAGCUGGGCGGGUGAUCGGCCACACCGGGCCUGAGACACGGCCCAGACUCCUACGGGGGGCAGCAGUAGGGAAUCUUGCGCAAUGGACGAAGGUCUGACGGAGCAACGCCGCGUGAGUGAUGAAGGCUUUCGGGUCGUAAAACUCUGUUGUUAGGGAAGAACAAGUGCUAGUUGAAUAAGCUGGCACCUUGACGGUACCUAACCAGAAAGCCACGGCUAACUACGUGCCAGCCGCCGCAGUAA
rnacentral:rRNA from 1 species